rnacentral:rRNA from 13 species
UUUGGCGACUAUGGCGGAGGGGUUCCACGCGUUCCCAUCUCGAACACGACCGUUAAGCCCUCCAGCGCCGAUGGUACUUGGACCGCAGGGUCCUGGGAGAGCAGGACGUUGCCAAGC